AGUGAACGCUGGCGGUAGGCCUAACACAUGCAAGUCGAACGGCAGCACAGUAAGAGCUUGCUCUUACGGGUGGCGAGUGGCGGACGGGUGGGGAAUACAUCGGAAUCUACUUUUUCGUGGGGGAUAACGUAGGGAAACUUACGCUAAUACCGCAUACGACCUACGGGUGAAAGCAGGGGAUCUUCGGACCUUGCGCGUUUGAAUGAGCCGAUGUCGGAUUAGCCAGUUGGCGGGGUAAAGGCCCACCAAGGCGACGAUCCGUAGCUGGUCUGAGAGGAUGAUCAGCCACACUGGAACUGAGACACGGUCCAGACUCCUACGGGAGGCAGCAGUGGGGAAUAUUGGACAAUGGGCGCAAGCCUGAUCCAGCCAUACCGCGUGGGUGAAGAAGGCCUUCGGGUUGUAAAGCCCUUUUGUUGGGAAAGAAAAGCAGCAGGUUAAUACCCCGCUGUUCUGACGGUACCCAAAGAAUAAGCACCGGCUAACUUCGUG
rnacentral:rRNA from 1 species